UUCCCCGUGGCCCAGUGGUCAAGGCUCUGCACCUCAACUGCAGGAGCGCGGGUCCCAUCCCCGACUGGGGAA
rnacentral:tRNA from 1 species